rnacentral:rRNA from 1 species
UCCGAAGGGGGCUAUCGUUGUUCGGAAUUACUGGGCGUAAAGCGCACGUAGGCGGGUCGUUAAGUCAGGGGUGAAAUCCCGGAGCUCAACUCCGGAACUGCCUUUGAUACUGGCGAUCUCGAGAUCGGAAGAGGUGAGUGGAAUUCCCAGUGUAGAGGUGAAAUUCGUAGAUAUUGGGAAGAACACCGGUGGCGAAGGCGGCUCACUGGUCCGAUACUGACGCUGAGGUGCGAAAGCGUGGGGAGAAAACAGG